rnacentral:rRNA from 1 species
UACGAAGGGGGCUAGCGUUGCUCGGAAUCACUGGGCGUAAAGCGCACGUAGGCGGAUCUUUAAGUCAGGGGUGAAAUCCUGGAGCUCAACUCCAGAACUGCCUUUGAUACUGGGGAUCUCGAGUCCGGAAGAGGUGAGUGGAACUCCGAGUGUAGAGGUGAAAUUCGUAGAUAUGGGGAGGAACACCGGUGGCGAAGGCGGCCACCUGGACGGUAACUGACGCUGAGAAGCGAAAGCAUGGGGAGCGAACAGG